UCUCUCUCCGGUGCUGUCACCCAGUGAGCAGCCUGGGAGGGCGCAGCCCCUGUGCAGUGCCAGGAAGCUGGGCUAUGCUGAACUCAUGUGGUGCCUGCUCUCAGAGGAGGACAAGAUCACGUGAGGGGCGGUGCCCCAGUCAGCCAUGCCUCCUGCUUGCUCCUUACCUCGCUUCUCUGUGGUCACGCCCACCAACUCUGGCUUCACCCUGACAUGGCCACGCCUAUAGGAUGCUCUGUCUCCGCCCCCCCCCCCCCCCCCCCCGCUUGAUCCUGGCUGACUGACCCCAACCACCGAUGCUAUGACCCCCACCUCAUGAACUCUGACCCUGAUCUCAUGACCCCGCCACCGUGACCCUGCUGACCUCUGACCCCUGAUCCUGCCCACAGACACCAUGAUCUCUGACCCUUACCCCUUGCCUCCACUCCUUGACUGUGACCCCGCCCAUUGACCCGCCCCCGUGACCUCUGACCCCCCAACCCCACCCACCCCCGCAGCACUGAGUACUGGUUCCGCUGCGUGGUGGUCGAGCUCGAGUUCUAUGAGGAGCAGGCCUGGCACAUGGCCCCCCAAGGCAUGGAGCUCCUCCUUUUCUGCCACCUCACGCACCAGGUGUCGUCACGGGUGACCCCAGCAGGGGCGCCCUGUGCGUGAC
rnacentral:lncRNA from 1 species